UAUGGAUCUGUGAUUUUAUUUUAAACUGCGUUAUCUAUCUGAAACCUCACUAGAGGAAUUGAGGAUAACAUAGUAUACUGAGAUCCACU
rfam:Cicer arietinum chromosome Ca3, whole genome shotgun sequence.